GUGCUUGCUUUGGCAGAACAUCUACUGAAACUGGAACGACAGAGAUUAGCAUGGCCCUUGUGCAAGGAUGACAUGCAAAUUCGUAAAGUGUAUAACUGAAAA
rfam:Tupaia chinensis contig69385, whole genome shotgun sequence.